ensembl:miRNA gga-mir-1689 gga-mir-1689
GGUGUUAUGUCUGGGCAGAAGAUCUCUGCUUACAGUGUCUGGGGGGAUCAUGCGGCAGCCCCGGUGACUGGAAGCAGCGUUGACUUCUGGGCAGUUCUGUCUCC